AAUAGAUACCCGGGUAGUCCACGCCGUAAACGAUGAGUGCUAAGUGUUAGAGGGUUUCCGCCCUUUAGUGCUGCAGCUAACGCAUUAAGCACUCCGCCUGGGGAGUACGGCCGCAAGGCUGAAACUCAAAGGAAUUGACGGGGGCCCGCACAAGCGGUGGAGCAUGUGGUUUAAUUCGAAGCAACGCGAAGAACCUUACCAGGUCUUGACAUCCUCUGCCGACCCUAGAGAUAGGGCGUUCCCCUUCGGGGGACAGAGUGACAGGUGGUGCAUGGUUGUCGUCAGCUCGUGUCGUGAGAUGUUGGGUUAAGUCCCGCAACGAGCGCAACCCUUGAUCUUAGUUGCCAGCAUUCAGUUGGGCACUCUAAGGUGACUGCCGGUGACAAACCGGAGGAAGGUGGGGAUGACGUCAAAUCAUCAUGCCCCUUAUGACCUGGGCUACACACGUGCUACAAUGGAUGGUACAAAGAGCAGCGAACCCGCGAGGGUAAGCCAAUCUCAUAAAGCCAUUCUCAGUUCGGAUUGUAGG
rnacentral:rRNA from 1 species